rnacentral:rRNA from 1 species
UUCUUGGUCAUUUAGAGGAAGUAAAAGUCGUAACAAGGUUUCCGUAGGUGAACCUGCGGAAGGAUCAUUAAAGAAAUUUAAUAAUUUUGAAAAUGGAUUUUUUUGUUUUGGCAAGAGCAUGAGAGCUUUUACUGGGCAAGAAGACAAGAGAUGGAGAGUCCAGCCGGGCCUGCGCUUAAGUGCGCGGUCGUGCUAGGCUUGUAAGUUUCUUUCUUGCUAUUCCAAACGGUGAGAGAUUUCUGUGCUUUUGUUAUAGGACAAUUAAAACCGUUUCAAUACAACACACUGUGGAGUUUUCAUAUCUUUGCAACUUUUUCUUUGGGCAUUCGAGCAAUCGGGGCCCAGAGGUAACAAACACAAACAAUUUUAUCUAUUCAUUAAAUUUUUGUCAAAAACAAGAAUUUUCGUAACUGGAAAUUUUAAAAUAUUAAAAACUUUCAACAACGGAUCUCUUGGUUCUCGCAUCGAUGAAGAACGCAGCGAAAUGCGAUACGUAAUGUGAAUUGCAGAAUUCCGUGAAUCAUCGAAUCUUUGAACGCACAUUGCGCCCCUUGGUAUUCCAGGGGGCAUGCCUGUUUGAGCGUCAUUUCCUUCUCAAACAUUCUGUUUGGUAGUGAGUGAUACUCUUUGGAGUUAACUUGAAAUUGCUGGCCUUUUCAUUGGAUGUUUUUUUUCCAAAGAGAGGUUUCUCUGCGUGCUUGAGGUAUAAUGCAAGUACGGUCGUUUUAGGUUUACCAACUGCGGCUAAUCUUUUUUUAUACUGAGCGUAUUGGAACGUUAUCGAUAAGAAGAGAGCGUCUAGGCGAACAAUGUUCUUAAAGUUUGACCUCAAAUCAGGUAGGAGUACCCGCUGAACUUAAGCAUAUCAAUAAGCGGAGGAA